GAUGAUUUGGAUUAUGCUCCUUGUCAGGAUGCAGAAAAAGAAAUUUGAGUGGGAAAGUGAAAAAGGGGCAAUCAUUGAAGACAAAGGGUAAAAAGUCCAAAGGUACAAUCACAUUAUGCUCAUGCCAUAUCGACAGUGUCCUCCAAUGAUCCAAGCCACUGACCUCUGAUGCCUCUGCCUACCGAGUUUCAAACUCAGCACACAUUUGCACCUAGUCGCUUAGCUUAUUUCCAAAGACGGCUG